CUGGCAGUGAUUGGUGCAGGGGUACGGACCUCUGCUGGAUAAUGGGAGCAGAGUGUAAAUGCUCCCCUGUUCAGUCGACAUGUGGCCAGCUGGCUCAGAGGCAUUUGCACAAAAAAAUGCCUGUGCCUGAGCCAG